UUUGUUUGUGUUCCUAGCACUGCCUGGUCUCCAAAGUUUGGCAGUCUCCACAUAGAAACAGAGCUGAUUAGAAAUGGCUAACGAUGUCCUGUUUUGUGUGCACAUGUGACCAGUUUCUGUGACAGCUCAGAAAUAGACCCUUUAACAGAUAAAAGAAGUGCUAACCAAAGACCCUAGCAGCCCUGCCAUUCAUUGAAACAAGG